UUAUGAAUAUGCUCACUGUUCUGAUUUUGUAAUGAUCAGGACAGGCUAAAAAUUUGCCAAAACAAGGCCAUGAACUUGUCGCCAAACCUAGUUCUUUACCUAUUUAGGUCCAGUCUUAGAAAUGAUC
rnacentral:snoRNA from 1 species